GCUGAAGUAGCAAAGUGGGAAUGCAAGAAACCUAAGAUUUCUUUAUCGGGGGUUCGAAUCCUCUCUUCAGUU
rnacentral:tRNA from 1 species